AGUGAACGCUGGCGGUAGGCCUAACACAUGCAAGUCGAACGGCAGCACAGUAAGAGCUUGCUCUUACGGGUGGCGAGUGGCGGACGAGUGAGGAAUACAUCGGAAUCUACUUUUUCGUGGGGGAUAACGUAGGGAAACUUACGCUAAUACCGCAUACGACCUACGGGUGAAAGCAGGGGAUCUUCGGACCUUGCGCGAUUGAAUGAGCCGAUGUCGGAUUAGCUAGUUGGCGGGGUAAAGGCCCACCAAGGCGACGAUCCGUAGCUGGUCUGAGAGGAUGAUCAGCCACACUGGAACUGAGAAAAGGUCCAGACUCCUACGGGAGGCAGCAGUGGGGAAUAUUGGACAAUGGGCGCAAGCCUGAUCCAGCCAUACCGCGUGGGUGAAGAAGGCCUUCGGGUUGUAAAGCCCUUUUGUUGGGAAAGAAAAGCAGCAGGUUAAUACCCAGCUGUUCUGACGGUACCCAAAGAAUAAGCACCGGCUAACUUCGUG
rnacentral:rRNA from 1 species